rnacentral:rRNA from 1 species
UGGGGAAUAUUGGGCAAUGGGCGCAAGCCUGACCCAGCAACGCCGCGUGAAGGAAGAAGGCUUUCGGGUUGUAAACUUCUUUUGUCAGGGACGAAGAAAGUGACGGUACCUGACGAAUAAGCCACGGCUAACUACGUGCCAGCAGCCGCGGUAAUACGUAGGUGGCAAGCGUUAUCCGGAUUUAUUGGGUGUAAAGGGCGUGUAGGCGGGAAUGCAAGUCAGAUGUGAAAACUAUGGGCUCAACCCAUAGCCUGCAUUUGAAACUGUGUUUCUUGAGUGCUGGAGAGGCAAUCGGAAUUCCGU